rnacentral:lncRNA from 1 species
GAAGUUGAGGCACAGAUUCCUCUGACCUCUGAAAUCCUCUGUUCUGGCUUUUAAGGUCUUCAACUGAUCAGAUGAGGAGAUUCUCCACAUUGCUGCAGGCAGUCUCCUCUGUUGAUUGUAGAUGCAAUAAACCAAUUAUAGAUGCAAAUUCCAUCUGCAGUACCCUCACAGUAACUAGAAGACACUAUAUCCUAGUCAAGAGGACCCAGGAAUUAACAUCACAACAUAAAAAUAUGAAAGAAGUCCUGCAGAGCCGUGCGCCCACCCCUGGAACUUGCUGGUCCUUGCAGCGUAUGGAGUGGAAGUGCAAAGCACCACAAACUGCUUUGAGCUGAGCCCACUUCCCUUCGCCCCCCCGGGAGCGUGAAGCAGUUACACCACCAUCAGUCAAGGGAAACCCGCAGGCGGAGCCCACGCCGUUGCAGCAGGUGCGCCAGCGCCGGCCCCGGUGGGCCACGUGACGGCAGAGCCCGCGGCGGGUGUCCUGCCCGCAGAUGGCAGUUAGGCUGGCUGCGAGGGCUGCGCCUGCUGCGGGGGCAGCCGGGCAGGUGUGGCAUCUCCGUGGGGCCGCCACUGUCAGCUCUAUCCUGAGCUCGCCUUGUUUUCCCUCGGCCCGUUCCCAGUGGCUAGGAGAAGAAUCCGAAAGCACUUGUAUUUUAUUUUCUCUCUGUGGUUCUCUGCAGUGAGAACAACCCUUGGAUUACUCCUGUAAAAUAGUAAACAGGAAGACACUAGCGGCAAGUGAUUUCCUGAAGCUAAGGGGAGACUAUUUGUAUAUGUAUGUGUAUACAUAAGCAGGUGUAUAAUCACACUUCUUAUUAAAAUAAAACCCAACUAGGCCAU